rnacentral:rRNA from 1 species
AUUGAACGCUGGCGGCAUGCCUUACACAUGCAAGUCGAACGGCAGCACGGGAGCAAUCCUGGUGGCGAGUGGCGAACGGGUGAGUAAAGUAUCGGAACGUGCCCAGUCGUGGGGGAUAACGUAGCGAGAGUUACCCUAAUACCGCAUACGAUCUAUGGAUGAAAGCGGGGGAUCGCAAGACCUCGCGCGAUUGGAGCGGCCGAUAUCAGAUUAGGUAGUUGGUGGGGUAAAGGCCCACCAAGCCGACGAUCUGUAGCUGGUCUGAGAGGACGACCAGCCACACUGGGACUGAGACACGGCCCAGACUCCUACGGGAGGCAGCAGUGGGGAAUUUUGGACAAUGGGCGAAAGCCUGAUCCAGCCAUGCCGCGUGCAGGAUGAAGGCCUUCGGGUUGUAAACUGCUUUUGUACGGAACGAAAAGGACUGCCCUAAUACGGUGGUCCCAUGACGGUACCGUAAGAAUAAGCACCGGCUAACUACGUGCCAGCAGCCGCGGUAA